rnacentral:tRNA from 1 species
GCACAGUGGUCAGUGCAGUCUGCCGGAAGCAGAAAGACGCGGGUUCAAUUCCCGU